UACGAAGGUGAUCUGGUUGUCACAUCUGUCACCCUACUGAUCACCAGGGUUGAUAUGGCUGAUGUGUUUGGCUAGGUAGGUCCCAUCCUCCCUCACUGAACCAUGUGCAUCCUUCCUGAACCUGUGCCUUUGAUGGAAAAGGACAACCUUCUCUGAUAGAGAAGGACCAUUUUUUGGUCAAGUGCAAAUGAGUAGAUGUGCUCCCUUGGUAGAACCUCCAAACAUUCUCUCAAGUGUCCACUGAUUCAGGUUUGUGAGACACAAGCUGCUGUUGUGAAGAGACAGAUAUCUCAAACACUUAAACUCAAACCCUUCUACAGAGAGUAAAAGUGUUAAACCAGUUGAG
rnacentral:snRNA from 1 species